rnacentral:lncRNA from 1 species
GUGGGGUGUGUGGGCCCAUGCUGGAGCUGGUAAAUCCAAAAGUGGCCAAAUGGGAAGGGGAACCAAGACUGGCAGCCAGGUACAUCCACUGGAUUAGUUUCAAGGCAGCAAUGACCUGCCUUCCUUACCUGCACACAGGCCCAGGUACAGGCUCAGCCAGAAGAGGAAUCUCCCAGGAGGGCCUCUCCCCAGGCCCAGGCAGGGAAGCACUGCCAUGGAUAGCAUCUGCCAGGACAAGCUGACCUGCACAAGAGACAGUCCACCGUGAAGAGCCGAGCAUGAGUUGGCAGCUGCUGUCAGCUCAAAUUGUCCAGUACGCAAACUUGGUCUUCAGAGGACUGACUUCCUCUUGGAUAGAAGAACCCUCUGAAACCAUGACUGUCAAGAACACACCCAAAUAAAGCAGCUGCCGAAACCACAAAAACAGAAAGACUAGAUUCAUUGUGAAGAUGUUUUCUAACAUUCAAAUGGGCUUUUGUUAGUUUUGUUUUUGAUUUUGGUGGAGGUCAUUUGAGUCUUGUUAUCAAGGUUACAAAGUGCUCUCUGGGAAAAGAUCCGGGCCCAUUUACCAGGCUGCCUUGCCUGGCUUUGCUUCUCGGGUAUGAAAUGAACAUUGAGAAUGCAGACACUGAA